rnacentral:rRNA from 1 species
ACGCGAAAGCCCCGCAGGGGGUAAGUAGAGUGGCAAACGGGUGAGUAACACGUGGGUGACCUGCCUUCGAGUGGGGGAUAACGUCCCGAAAGGGACGCUAAUACCGCAUGACAUCCUGCCUUUGAAAAGGCGGAGAUCAAAGCUGGGGAUCGCAAGACCUGGCGCUUGAAGAGGGGCCCGCGCCUGAUUAGCUAGUUGGUGAGGUAAUGGCUCACCAAGGCGACGAGCAGUAUCCGGCCUGAGAGGGCGGACGGACACACUGGGACUGAGACACGGCCCAGACUCCUACGGGAGGCAGCAGUGGGGAAUUGUUCGCAAUGGGCGCAAGCCUGACGACGCAACGCCGCGUGGAGGAUGAAGAUCUUCGGGUCGUAAACUCCUGUCGAGUGGGACGAAUGCUCCGUGGGUGAAUAUCCCGCGGGGGUGACGGUACCGCUAAAGGAAGCCCCGGCUAACUCCGUGCCAGCAGCCGAGGUAAUACGGGGGGGGCAAGCGUUG